rnacentral:rRNA from 1 species
UCGAGCGAGAAAGUUCCUUCGGGAGCGAGUACAGCGGCAAACGAGUGCGUAACACGUGAGAAUUUACCCUUCAGUGAGGAAUAUCUUCGAGAAAUUGAAGUUAAUACUGCAUACGUCCCUUCGGGGAGAAAGAUGGCCUCUUUGCUAUCGCUGAGGGAUAAGCUUGCGGACUAUCAGCUAGUUGGUGAGGUAAUGGCUCACCAAGGCGAUGACGGUUAGCCGGCCUGAGAGGGUGAACGGCCACGCUGGAACUUAGACACGGUCCAGACUCC